CUGGGCCCUGCCUGUUGCUGAAAACUCAAGAGCUUGGUUUGCCUUCACACACCAGAACACGCAAUACACAUGGAAACGCAUGCCUCAGGGCUUUCAUAACAGCCCUACGCUUUUCCAUCGCGCAAUGGCCAAGAUUCUAGCAACAGUUUCAUGGUCUCAGUAUGAAGGAACACAGUGCCUCCAAUAUGUUGAUGAUAUUCUCUUGGCUUCUUCUGACCCUGUCUCUCAUUUCCAGGCUCUGGAAGCUUUACUCAAAGCUUUGGAAAAAUACAAUAUGAAAGCAAGUCCAAAGAAGGCCCAAAUCGCACAAGACGCUGUCCAGUAUUUGGGCUUUACCAUAUCCCAGGGCUCGAAGCAACUCACUGUUGACCGGAGAACUGCUAUUGCCACUGCUCCGCGUCCCCGCACUGUCCGUGAUGUUCGUAAGAUUCUGGGACUUUUUAACUUCUGCAGGAACCACAUACCUGACUUUUCUGUUAUUGCAACACCAAUCAAUGCUCUUUUGAAGGGCUCCCAUCGCCCAUUGGAGACCGUUGAUUGGACAACCGAGUGUGAAGAUGCAUUCAGCACUCUCAAAUCUGCUCUCACUUCUGCCCCUGCUUUAGGUUUCCCUUGUUCUGACCUCCCGUUCUUUCUAUGGUCAGCUGUGAAACAAGGCCACAUGACAGCCGUUCUUACUCAGCCCCAUGGAGGCAUACAACGCCCCGUUGCUUACUAUUCUUCUCGCCUGGAUUCUGUCGCUUCUGGUCUUUCCCCUUGCUUACAGGAAGUGCAGGCUGCCGCCACAGCAGUAACGGUCUCCGCUGCACUAGUCUCAGGAGCUCCACUCUCUGUCAAUGUCUCUCAUGCUGUGCAUAACAUACUAACCCAAGGCCGUUUCUCUCGUGUUUCAGCAGCCAGGUGGACUAGAUGGGAAGCCAUCUUGUUAGCUCCGCUUAUCACACUCAUCCACUCCCCAGCUGUGAACCCAGCCACUCUCUUACCUGUCGAGGGAGACGGGGAGCCACAUGAGUGCCCAUUGUCUCCAGAUCACCCAUCCAAUUCAGACAUCUCUGAAACACCUCUUUCUGACAAUGAUUUCUCACUUUUUGUUGAUGGAUCUCGUUUUUACAAUGGGGCCCACCCAGUUACAGGAUAUGCAGUUGUUGACAUUGCUGGUCAGGUAAUGGCAUCAGGCCGCCUUCCAAGUUCAGAUUCAGCACAGGUGGCUGAACUUGUUGCCCUCACUCAUGCCUGUGAGUUGGGUUCUGGGAAACGACUUACUAUAUACACUGAUUCCAGGUAUGCAUUUGGUGUUGUCCAUGACUUUAUGGUUAACUGGUCAUCUCGGGGUUUCCUGACUUCAUCAGGUACCCCGAUAAAAAAUGGGGGGGUUGUUCAGAAUCUCAUAACUGCCUCUAAACUACCAAACAAACUAGCAGUUGUAAAAGUGAAAGCGCACACUAAAGGACAAGAUGCAAUCAGCUUGGGUAACCACUGGGCAGAUGAAGCUGCCAAAGCAGCAGCUUUAAAUGACUCCCUGCCUACUUACAAAAUUGCAGCUAUUGACAUGUCGGGUCCAACUAACAUUGACAUAGCUAAACUACAGGAUGCCUGUACAAGAGCUGAAAAUGGACGUGGAUUGAAAAUGCAUGCACUCUUAAUGAUGACAACAUUUGGCACACACAGGACGGGAAAGUUGUUGCCCCUCAGAGCAUCCUUUCAUUGCUUUGUGAAGUAUACCAUGGCAUUGCACACAAUGGAGAAAGAACAAUGCGGCACAACAUGUCACUUCAUUGGUGGUCUCCCAAAAUGACCAAGACUCUGAAAGAUAAACAAAAGGAGGGGGGGCAAGAAUCGCAGACAUAUGAACCUGGACAAUGGGUUAUGAUAAGAGCCCCUCAUCCUAGAUCUUUCCAACCUCGAUGGCAAGGACCACACCAGGUCUUACUAACCUCUGAGACUGCUCUUCGAGUUACAGGCAUCCCGGUCUGGAUCCACCAAUCCCGGACCAAACCAUGCCCAUCACCCGAAGACCUCAAAAAGCCUGAAGAACUCCCUGCCACGGACGACUGCAGCCUUCACGAAUCAGGUGCAAACGUUCCAAUUUUUUCACAUACUCAACCAAAUUGAGCAUUCAAGUUAUGCUCCCAUCCAACAUGCUGAAUUCAUUUGUAAUUAUAAUCACAGUUUUGAGCCAUGGUGGAGUAAGUGCUGUGGACAAUAACAUUUACAUGCAAUUAGUUCACAUGACAGCCAAACAUGCAAAUAAGACUGGCUGCUAUGUCUGUGGAUUAAUACCACAUUCUGUCGCACUUGGUGUUCCAAUGAUGUCCGUACCUAUCGCCUCCAAGUAUAACACUGCAGAUAGCGAUAGCAAAAGUGAACUUGUUACCAGACCUAAACAUAUAUGUGAUCCUGAACCCAUUAACAUUGCUCUGUCUCUUGGCCCAUA